CCACCUGCAUGGCAAGCCAAACUGGAAGGAAUGUUGACAUGAUAGCUGAUGUGGUAUGCUAUGUUAGCUCAAUUCAUUACCUUUAAAAAGAAUCGGAUUUUAUGAGAGAAAAGAAAGGGAAAAUGUUCAAACCACAUACCUCUCACUCAUAAAGCACGCUCCUUGUUAGUUAGGCUAGAACAUAUUCUUACUUUUUGUCCUUAACUCUAAAAUAUAAUUGUCUCAUUUCCUUACCUAAAAAAAAUUUAGGGGCUGUUUGACAGAAUUUAGAUUUUUAAAAGACUUGAAAUUCUAAAAAGGUCUGAAUUUUUAACAUGUUGUUUGUUUGGAACAUCUGAAUUGUUGUGUUGAACGAUAAAAAUGACCAGUUUACCCCUUUUGCAUUAGUUUUUUUUACUGAAUUCAAUAUUUAAAAAUAAUAAUAAUAAUUGAACCAACUCCUUUAACAAUUAUAAAAAUUGUAAACACCAUACAAAAUCCAAAUAAAAAAUAAAUAUUAUGAAAUCCAUAAAAUCAAACUAAAAUCCUACAAAAAUAUUUGAAGCUUAAAUCUUUUGUCAACAAAAAUGCUAUUUGAUCUACCAAACAUUGUUGACAAAAUCACUAAUGUAAAGCAUGAGAGCAUGGUCGGUGUAGGGUUGAAGCAAGCAGGACAGUUGAACAAGGCCUAAAAAUUUUAAGGGACAAUUUUUUUGUGUAUUCAACCCGACGCUUAAAUCCUUCUUCCUCAUCUGUUCUAAGAAAUUCGUAAGCCCUGCUUAAUGCCCGGUGUUCCUUUUUUUCAUUCCCAUGAUUGGAAUUUGCAUCCAUUUACAGGUAAUUACUUUAUACUUCAUUAUCUUGGAUAUUUAUGAUUAUGUAAUUACUUAAUUUUGAUCUUCUGUUUUACAUAUGUUAAUUGUAUUUGAAGCGAUAUUACAUACCUUCGGCACGAGAACACUGUUGUGACCGGUUGGAGUAAGCAAAGCCCUAAUUAUACAAUAUUUUUUUUUUGUUUUACUUUGUUUAAUGGGUUUCUUAAUUACAUAUUAACUUAUUCAGUUAGAGACUAUUUGGACCAUGACUAUUCUUGGGUAUCUUGCAAAGCUUAUACUCGAAGUCUUUAGGUUAAUUGCUUAGGUUGCACACAUCAUUAUAUAUCUGUUGAUUGACACUCAACUUUCUCCAUUGCUAAAUGAGGUUUUCAUAAAGUUGGAUGGCAUUUGGGGUCUUCUGGGCAGUGCAACCUUUGCAUUUUUCUACUUUUACCUUCUGCUUACAGUUAUUGCUGGGGCAAUAAUGCUUGGUCUGAGACUAGUGUUUAUCACUAUCCAUCUAAUGAAGUAAAAUGACCUUUCUAUCCAAUUAUGUAUUUUUGUUUUAUUGUGACUUGUGAACUGAAUAUUAAGUAAUACCACCUUUUUGUCUAGGUGGGGAGGUAGUCCCAUGAACUC